rnacentral:rRNA from 1 species
GUCUUUUAAUUGAAGUCUGGUAUGAAUGGUUGGAUGAAAAAUUUACUUUCUUUAUUUUAAAAUUAAAAUUUAAUUUUUUAGUUAAAAAGCUAAAAUUUGUUUGCAGGACGAGAAGACCCUAUAGAGCUUCACUCCUCUUUCCUUAUUAUUUACUUGUAAAUAAUUUUUUAUUAGGGAAAGAGGAGUUUUAUUGGGGUGAUAAAAAAAAAUUUUUAACUUUUUUUCUUUUUACCAUUUAUUUAUGGUUAUUUUUUGAUCCUUUAAUUAUGGAUAAUAAGAUUAAGCUACCUUAGGGAUAACAGCGUUAUUAUUUUAGAGAGUUCAUAUUGAUGAAAUAGUUUGCGACCUCGAUGUUGGAUUAAAUUAAGUGUCAGGGGUAGAAUUUUGAUUACUAGGUCUGUUCGACCUUUAAAUAUUUACA